rnacentral:rRNA from 1 species
CUACGGGCCGCUCCAGGCGCGAAACCUUUACAAUGCACGCAAGUGUGAUAAGGGGACCCCACGUGCUGGCGUAAUGCGUCAGCUUUUCUAGAGUGUAAAAAGCUUUAGGAAUAAAGGGUGGGCAAGACCGGUGCCAGCCGCCGCGGUAACACCGGCGCCCUUGGUGGUGACCGCGUUUAUUGGGCCUAAAGCAUCCGUAGCCCGUUGUGUAAGUUUUUGGUGAAAUCUGGCAGCUCAACUGUCGGGCGUGCCGAAAAUACUGCAUAACUUGAGACCGGGAGGAGUUAGAGGUAUUCCAGAGGGAGCGGUAAAAUGUUGUAAUCUCUGGAGGACCGCCGGUGGCGAAGGCGUCUAACUAGAACGGGUCUGACGGUGAGGGAUGAAAGCUAGGGUAGCGAGCCGGAUUAGAUACCCUUGUAGUC